AGUCGAGCGGAUGAGGGGAGCUUGCUCCUCGAUUUAGCGGCGGACGGGUGAGUAAUGCCUAGGAAUCUGCCUAGUAGUGGGGGACAACGUUUCGAAAGGAACGCUAAUACCGCAUACGUCCUACGGGAGAAAGUGGGGGAUCUUCGGACCUCACGCUAUUGGAUGAGCCUAGGUCGGAUUAGCUAGUUGGUAGGGUAAAGGCCUACCAAGGCGACGAUCCGUAACUGGUCUGAGAGGAUGAUCAGUCACACUGGAACUGAGACACGGUCCAGACUCCUACGGGAGGCAGCAGUGGGGAAUAUUGGACAAUGGGCGAAAGCCUGAUCCAGCCAUGCCGCGUGUGUGAAGAAGGCCCUCGGGUCGUAAAGCACUUUAAGUUGGGAGGAAGGGCUUACAGCGAAUACCUGUGAGUUUUGACGUUACCGACAGAAUAAGCACCGGCUAACUUCGUGCCAGCAGCCGCGGUAAUACGAAGGGUGCAAGCGUUAAUCGGAAUUACUGGGCGUAAAGCGCGCGUAGGUGGCUUGAUAAGUUGGAUGUGAAAUCCCCGGGCUCAACCUGGGAACUGCAUCCAAAACUGUCUGGCUAGAGUGUGGUAGAGGGUAGUGGAAUUUCCAGUGUAGCGGUGAAAUGCGUAGAUAUUGGAAGGAACACCAGUGGCGAAGGCGACUACCUGGACUAACACUGACACUGAGGUACGAAAGCGUGGGGAGCAAACAGGAUUAGAUACCCUGGUAGUCCACGCCGUAAACGAUGUCAACUAGCCGUUGGGAUCCUUGAGAUCUUAGUGGCGCAGCUAACGCAUUAAGUUGACCGCCUGGGGAGUACGGCCGCAAGGUUAAAACUCAAAUGAAUUGAC
rnacentral:rRNA from 1 species